rnacentral:rRNA from 1 species
GCUUUCGAUGGUAGUGUAUUGGACUACCAUGGCUCUCACGGGUAACAGGGAAUUAGGGUUCGAUUCUGGAGAAGGAGCCUGAGAAACGGCUACUACAUCUACGGAAGGCAGCAGGCGCGUAAAUUACCCAAUCCUGACUCAGGGAGGUGGUGACAAGAUAUAACAACGAGACUUUAAAUCUCGAUUGUAGUGAGGGUAUUCUAAAUAGAACCUAUAGUACGAUUAGAGGGCAAGUCUGGUGCCAGCAGCCGCGGUAAUUCCAGCUCUAAUAGCGUAUAUUAAAGUUGCUGCAGUUAAAAAGCUCGUAGUUGGAUUUCAAGGAUUGUAUUCUCUUCCGGGUUUACUUCCUACUAGUCAUUUGACUGUUACUGUGAGAAAAUUAGAGUGUUUCAAGCAGGCUUUCGCAAGAAUACAUUAGCAUGGAAUAACGAAUGUAUUUAGAAUCGUGGUUUAAUUCUAAAUUACGAUUAAUAGAGACAGUUGGGGGCAUUAGUAUUUAAUUGUCAGAGGUGAAAUUCUUGGAUUUGUUAAAGACUAACGUAUGCGAAAGCAUUUGCCAAGGAUGUUUUCAUUAAUCAAGGACGAAAGAUAGGGGAUCAAAGACAAUCAGAUACUGUCGUAGUUCCUAUCUAUUAAACUAUGCCGACUAGGGAUUGGGAGUGGGUAUACACCCAUUUCAGUACCCUUAUGAGAAAUCAAAGUCUUUGGGUUCCUGGGGGGAGUAUGGUCGCAAGACUGAAACUUAAAGAAAUUGACGGAAGGGCACCACCAGGAGUGGAGCCUGCGGGCUUAAUUUGACUCAACACGGGGAAACUUACCAGGUCCCAGACGUAGUAAGGAAUUGACAGAUUGAUAGCUCUUUCUUGAUUCUAUGAGUGGUUGGUGCAUGGCCGUUCUUAGUUGGUGGAGUGAUUUGUCUGGUUAAUUCCGAUAACGAACGAGACCUUAACCUGCUAACUAGAUACUUUUAUUCUAUAAAUGUCAUCUUCUUAGAGGGACUAUGUAAUCUAAAUACAUGGAAGUUUGAGGCAAUAACAGGUCAGUGAUGCCCUUAUAUGUCCUGGGCUGCACGCGUGCUACACUGAUGCAUACAACAAGUGCCUAACCAGACAUGGUACGGCAAUCUCGAAUAUGCAUCGUGAUGGGGAUAGAUCUUUGCAAUUAUAGAUCUUGAACGAGGAAUUCCUAGUAAGUGCAAGUCAUCAUCUUGCAUUGAUUAUGUCCCUGCCCUUUGUACACACCGCCCGUCGCUCCUACCGAUACCGGGUGAUCCGGUGAACCUUUUGGACUCAUUGAGAAAGAUAAGUAAACCAUAUCACCUAGAGGAAGGAGAAGUCGUAACAAGGUUUCCGUAGGUGAACCUGCAGAAGGAUCA